AGCCUCGAAUGGCAGCAAACGCCGCGUGUAUGAUGAAAGGCUUUCGGUACGUAUAGACACUGUUGUAUCAGUAAGAAACAGCUAGAGUAGGGUAUCGAAUUUCUAAGUCUCUGACGGUACCAUAACCACGAAAGGACCGGCGUAAAUACAGUGUCCAGCAGCCCGCGGUGAAUAUCGUAUGUGCCCGCAACGCUAUCUCGGAAUUUAUUUGGGCGGUAAAAACGAGCGCACGACGCUUGAUUUAAGUCUGAUGUGAAAAACCCCGCAGCUCAACUCCUGGAAUGGCACUUGGAAACUGGUGAACUCGAGUGCAGUAGAGAGUAAGUGGAACUUCAUGUGUAGCGGUGGAAUGCGUAGAUAUAUGGAAGAACACCAGUGGCGAAGGCGGCUUACUGGACUGUAACUGACGUUGAGGCUCGAAAGUGUGGGUAGCAAACAGGAUUAGAUACCCUGGUAGUCCACACCGUAAACGAUGAACACUAGAUGUUAGGAGGUUUCCGCCUCUUAGUGCCGAAGCUAACGCCUUAAGUGUUCCGCCUGGGGAGUACGACCGCAAAGUUGAAACUCAAAGGAAUUGACGGGGACCCGCACCAGCGGUGGAGCCUGUGGUUUAAUUUGAAGCAACGCGAAGAACCUUACCCGGUCUUGACAUCCUUUGAAGCUUUUAGAGAUAGAAGUGUUCUCUUCGGAGACAAAGUGACAGGUGGUGCAUGGUCGUCGUCAGCUCGUGUCGUGAGAUGUUGGGUUAAGUCCCGCAACGAGCGCAACCCUUAUUGUUAGUUGCCAGCAUUCAGAUGGGCACUCUAGCGAGACUGCCGGUGACAAACCGGAGGAAGGCGGGGACGACGUCAGAUCAUCAUGCCCCUUAUGACCUGGGCUACACACGUGCUACAAUGGGGUAUACAACGAGUUGCCAACCCGCGAGGGUGAGCUAAUCUCUUAAAGUACGUCUCAGUUCGGAUUGUAGUCUGCAACUCGACUACAUGAAGUCGGAAUCGCUAGUAAUCGCGGAUCAGCACGCCGCGGUGAAUACGUUCCCGGGUCUUGUACACACCGCCCGUCACACCAUGGGGA
rnacentral:rRNA from 1 species